CUGUGCGACCCCGGGGACUGCAGCCUGCCAGACUGCUCUGUCCAUGGAGGUUUCCAGGCAAGAAUAAUGGAGUGGGAUGCCAAUUUCUACUUUCCAGGCAGGAGGCCCAACAAAAUAGACAAAAUCCUUGCCCGCAGAGAUCUUAUGUUCUGAUAACAAACUCUUCCUUAGUUUACAACUGUGCUCCCUUCAUGGUUUUCUUGAAUUAUGAGUGGGAUUUGGCAUGUGUGAUGUUUUCUACACUUUGCUUAAAAGCUGUGAUUAGAGCUUUACUAUUUUUAACAAGAGAGAAGGAAGAGGAGGUUUUCUAUAACUGGACAAAAACUGGAAUAUGAAAAGAGGAGUAGGAAGAGGGAAAUAGUGUUGUACCUAAGAUUAAAAUGUGAGCCAAAGAUAAAAAAAAAAAGAGAGAGAGAGAUUCCUAUAUUAGGCAUGUGAGAAGCUGGGGAAAACACCAUUUACUGUCCAGUCUUGGAUAGAGGAGUUCUUGGACAGGAGAAUGGGAGAAAAGAUGGAAUAGUGGGAGAAGGGUAAACAGGGCUUUUAACAAGUCUGGUUUAAGUAACUUGGGAUGUUCCUAUAAAAUAUAUAUUAUUUGUGUUUGGAAAAGAUCCUUUUCCUUUUCUUUUGUGAACAUAGUUGAAAGAUUAGUGGUUGGCCAGUAGUGUUUGACAGAGAAGGGAGAAUUGCUGUAAAAAUUCAGGGAAGUCUCAUAGAUUCUAAGAGGGAAUACAGUGAGGCCUCUGGAGUGAGUCAUAACUAGGGACUUGGAAGGUACACAAGGCUUCCUUUUUUACUAUCACUGCUCUCUUUUUUGUGCUUUCUCUCCCUUAGGCCCUUUCUAGAGUAAUGCAUUCUCUGCUUCUCAGUCCACGUGGUAGAAUAUGAUUGAUGUUAUAGCUCCUACCACUCUAAUCUCCUUUCUGGUAAUUGUGGGCUAAUUAAAUUGGACCAACCUCCUUGAGGAAAAAUGAUAAAAAUACUGGAUAAGAUUUUACCAAAUCUUUGUAAAAGCAUCAAAGUACUAAUAUGAUAACAAGAAACAAAUAGGCCAGAAUCUAAGGAAAAGAUGAAAUCUGAG
ensembl:lncRNA